rnacentral:rRNA from 1 species
AUACGGAAGGUCCGGGCGUUAUCCGGAUUUAUUGGGUUUAAAGGGAGCGCAGGCGGAGGUGCAAGCGUGACGUCAAAUUUCGGGGCUCAACCCCGUCUCGCGUCGCGAACUGCGUCCCUUGGUUGCGGGAAGGGGAGGCGGAACUCGUGGUGUAGCGGUGAAAUGCAUAGAUAUCACGAAGAACUCCGAUCGCGAAGGCAGCCUUCCGGCCCGUCAACGACGCUCAUGCUCGAAGGUGCGGGUAUCAAACAGGAUUAGAUACCCUGGUAGUCCGCACAGUAAACGAUGGACACCCGCGGUUUGGCCUAUAUGGCUGAGCCGCCAAGCGAAAGCGUUAAGUGUCCCACCUGGGGAGUACGCCGGCAACGGUGAAACUCAAAGGAAUUGGCGGGG